rnacentral:misc_RNA from 1 species
AAGUCGUAACAAGGUUUCCGUAGGUGAACCUGCGGAAGGAUCAUUAACACGUUAUCCACGUAUUCUCUUAUCCACGUAACCGCGAACUGUGCUCCCCGUUGGCUGACCUCAUGGCUUGUCUGGUUUUGGUUCUUAGUGGGCUUCUCGGAGCACACCAGAGCUGGACUCUCAUACUCCUCACGGAGUGUGGCCGUGUAACUAGUUGUCCGGGCUUAUUGACUCUUCUCGUCACCCUACCACUAUGGGGCGAUGGGGAGGACCCCAUACCAAACUGUUUCACCGCAUUUUACAAUUUUGGCUAAUUCUAAACGUUCAUGGGAGAAAUCCUAAUGAAUAUGACUAAGAUUUUAUCUUAACUAAGCACAACUCUUAGCAAUGGAUAUCUUGGUUCUC